rnacentral:rRNA from 1 species
UACGUAGGGGGCAAGCGUUGUCCGGAAUCAUUGGGCGUAAAGCGCGUGUAGGCGGCUGAGUAAGUCUGCUCUGAAAGCCCGGGGCUCAACCCCCGGGAGGCGGGUGGAUACUGCUCAGCUCGAGUCCGGAAGAGGAGUGUGGAAUUCCUGGUGUAGCGGUGAAAUGCGCAGAUAUCAGGAGGAACACCAAUGGCGAAGGCAGCACUCUGGGACGGUACUGACGCUGAGGCGCGAAAGCCAGGGGAGCGAACGGG